AGUGAACGCUGGCGGUAGGCCUAACACAUGCAAGUCGAACGGCAGCACAGGAGAGCUUGCUCUCUGGGUGGCGGGUGGUGGACGGGUGAGGAAUACAUCGGAAUCUACUCUGUCGUGGGGGAUAACGUAGGGAAACUUACGCUAAUACCACAUACGACCUACGGGUGAAAGCAGGGGAUCUUCGGACCUUGCGCGAUUGAAUGAGCCGAUGUCGGAUUAGCUAGUUGGCGGGGUAAAGGCCCACCAAGGCGACGAUCCGUAGCUGGUCUGCUGGGAUGGUCAGCCAAACUGGAACUGAGACACGGUCCAGACUCCUACGGGAGGCAGCAGUGGGGAAUAUUGGACAAUGGGCGCAAGCCUGAUCCAGCCAUACCGCGUGGGUGAAGAAGGCCUUCGGGUUGUAAAGCCCUUUUGUUGGGAAAGAAAUCCAGCUGGCUAAUACCCGGUUGGGAUGACGGUACCCAAAGAAUAAGCACCGGCUAACUUCGUGCCAGCCGCCGCAGUAA
rnacentral:rRNA from 1 species